rnacentral:rRNA from 1 species
GUGAAUUAGGACGUCCAACUUAACUUGGAGUCCGAACUCUCACUUUCUAACCCUGUGCAUCUGUUUUAAAAUUGGCUAGUAGCUCUUCGGAGCGAACCACCAUUUUUCACUUAUACAAACACAAAGUCUAUGAAUGUAAACAAAUUUAUAACAAAACAAAACUUUCAACAACGGAUCUCUUGGCUCUCGCAUCGAUGAAGAACGCAGCGAAAUGCGAUACGUAAUGUGAAUUGCAGAAUUCAGUGAAUCAUCGAAUCUUUGAACGCACCUUGCGCUCCUUGGUAUUCCGAGGAGCAUGCCUGUUUGAGUGUCAUGAAAUCUUCAACCCACCUCUUUCUUAGUGAAUCUGGUGGUGCUUGGUUUCUGAGCGCUGCUCUGCUUCGGCUUAGCUCGUUCGUAAUGCAUUAGCAUCCGCAACCGAAACUUCGGAUUGACUUGGCGUAAUAGACUAUUCGCUGAGGAUUCCAGACUUGUUCUGGAGCCGAGUUGGGUUAAAGGAAGCUUCUAAUCCUAAAGUCUAUUUUUUGAUUAGAUCUCAAAUCAGGUAGGACUACCCGCUGAACUUAAGCAUAUCAAUAAGCGGAGGAA